UACGGGGGGUGCUAGCGUUACUCGGAAUCAUUGGGCGUAAAGGGCGCGUAGGCGGCCUGGUAAGUCAGAUGUGAAAGCCCGGGGCUUAACCCCGGAAGUGCAUUUGAUACUGCCAGGCUUGAGUAUGGGAGAGGGAAGUGGAAUUCCUGGUGUAGAGGUGAAAUUCGUAGAUAUCAGGAGGAACACCGGUGGCGAAGGCGACUUCCUGGACCAAUACUGACGCUGAGGCGCGAAGGCGUGGGGAGCAAACAGG
rnacentral:rRNA from 1 species